rnacentral:rRNA from 1 species
CACCUACGGGGGGCAGCAGUGGGGGAUAUUGCACAAUGGGGGAAACCCUGAUGCAGCGACGCCGCGUGAGCGAUGAAGUAUUUCGGUAUGUAAAGCUCUAUCAGCAGGGAAGAAAAUGACGGUACCUGACUAAGAAGCCCCGGCUAACUACGUGCCAGCAGCCGCGGUAAUACGUAUGGUGCAAGCGUUAUCCGGAAUGACUGGGUGUAAAGGGAGCGUAGACGGUUGUACAAGUCUGAUGUGAAAGCCCACGGCUCAACUGUGGGAGUGCAUUGGAAACUGUAGAACUAGAGUAUCGGAGAGGC